rnacentral:tRNA from 1 species
CGGGAUGUCGUAUAGUGGUAGUACGCCGCGCUGGGGGUGCGGUAGUCCCAGUCCGAUUCUGGGCAUCCCGACCA